rnacentral:rRNA from 1 species
UACGUAGGGUGCGAGCGUUAAUCGGAAUUACUGGGCGUAAAGCGUGCGCAGGCGGUUCGUUGUGUCGGCGGUGAAAGCCCCCGGGCUCAACCUGGGAAUGGCCGUUGAAACUGGCGAACUGGAGUGUGGCAGAGGGGGGGUGGAAUUCCGCGUGUAGCGGUGAAAUGCGCAGAUAUCAGGAGGAACACCGAUGGCGAAGGCAGGUCUCUGGGCCACUACUGACGCUGAGAAGCGAAAGCAUGGGGAGCGAACAGG